rnacentral:rRNA from 1 species
AUUGAACGCUGGCGGCAUGCCUUACACAUGCAAGUCGAACGGUAACAGGUCUUCGGAUGCUGACGAGUGGCGAACGGGUGAGUAAUACAUCGGAACGUGCCCGAUCGUGGGGGAUAACGCAGCGAAAGCUGUGCUAAUACCGCAUACGAUCUACGGAUGAAAGCGGGGGAUCGCAAGACCUCGCGCGGACGGAGCGGCCGAUGGCAGAUUAGGUCGUUGGUGGGAUGAAAGCUUACCAAGCCGACGAUCUGUAGCUGGUCUGAGAGGACGACCAGCCACACUGGGACUGAGGCACGGCCCAGACUCCUACGGGAGGCAGCAGUGGGGAAUGUUGGACAAUGGGCGCAAGCCUGAUCCAGCCAUGCCGCGUGCAGGAUGAAGGCCUUCGGGUUGUAAACUGCUUUUGUACGGAACGAAAAAGCUCUCUCUAAUACAGGGGGUGAAUGACGGUACCGUAAGAAUAAGCACCGGCUAACUACGUG